rnacentral:lncRNA from 1 species
AUUCAGAACUCAGAUGAAUGUGAGGUGUGCCGGGAUGGAGGAACACUCUUCUGCUGUGAUACUUGUUUCACAGCCUUCCAUGAGGACUGUCAUAUCCCAACAGUGGAAGCUGAGAUAACACCAUGGAGUUGCAUCUUCUGUAGAAUGCAGUCCUUAGGAAGUCAACCGAGUCUUCCAGAAUCUGAGAUACUGCAGAGGGAGAUGGCUCCCCAGGAACAGUUGAAGUGUGAGUAUGUUCUCUUGAGAGUCUAUUGCUGUUCUGAGAGCUCCUUUUUUUUCCAAGAUGCCAUAUUAUUAUUAUUUUAGAGAGAUGACUGUGGGUGUGCAAGAGCCUAUGUGGUUGGACAUAAUCAAGAAAAGGCUGAGUGACAGGCUUACUGCCAAGUAGAAGACUUUGUGCAAGACAUGAGGCUCAUCUUCCAGAAUCACAAAAUCACGUUCAAGGACCCUAAGUUUGGCGAAAUGGGACUUAGACUGGAGUCCAAAUUUGAGAAGGGUUUCAAGGAAGUGUUUGCUAUUCAGGAAACAAAUGAAAAGAGUUGA